UAAAGGUAUAAAAGAGAAGGUCAGCGUUCAGAGCAGCAUCACAACAACUCCAGAUCUUCUUCUGAGACAGUAAAGACUUGACUGAGUGAAAUCAUGCUGAAGUUAGCGCUUGUGCUUGGAUGUCUCCUGAGCCUCACUCUGGCUCAACCUAUGGAGCAUCAGAGAGUGGCUCGUUCCAGCUCAGACUCCAACUCUGGAUCUAACUCGAAUGAGGCAACCACCACCACUGCUACAACAACUACAGCUGCAGGAACUACACUAUCAGUGAAUCAGCUGAUUGCUCAACUGCUGGCACUACUAGGAUAAAAUUAAGUCUGCCAUGGAGCCAGAAUUCAACUAGUGCUUAAAAAAAGCAUUUUGUUAAGAACAUCAAAUCUGGCUUCUGUUGUUAUUGGCUUGUCUUUGAGCAAUAAAAAUAAAAUUCAUCAUGAAUCUUUAAUGUGUUGUUGUUGUUGCUUUGAAACUUAUAAAAACAUUCAGUCUUUCAACAUAUAAUCAUGAAACUAAGAGAAACAAAUUCAUUAUUUUAAAGGAUUUACAAAGCAAACUGGUAGAAUUACUUUCAGUAGAGAAAACAACAGGUAAAAAAAUGCUACUUAAUAAAAUUGAAAGUCAUUUAAGGAAAAAAAUGGAGGAUUACCUUAGAAUUAAAAAAAAAAAAA